UACCUGGUUGAUCCUGCCAGUCAAGCAAGCUAUUCUCAAAGAUUAAGCCAUGUAUGUGCCAAGUUCAAACGUUAAACGUGAGACUGCGGACGGCUCAGUAAAUCAGUGAUAAUCUGUUUGAUUUUCUCUCCCAUUGGAUAACCGUGGGAAAUCUAGAGCUAAUACGUGCGGUAAAUUGGCGUGCUCUCGGGUGCGUCAAAGCAUUUAUUAGACUAAACCAUCUACUAUGUUUACAUAGUAAGGGGAAUCUGGAUAACUUUGCUGAUCGUAUGGCCUUGUGCCGGCGACGUUUCAAUUGAGUUUCUGCCCUAUCAACUUGUUGGUAAGGUAUUGGCUUACCAAGGUUGCAACGGGUAACGGGGAAUCAGGGUUCGAUUCCGGAGAGGGAGCCUGAGAAACGGCUACCACAUCCAAGGAAGGCAACAGGCGCGCAAAUUACCCAAUCUAGACAGUAGGAGGUGGUAAAGAGAAUUACUAAGUGGUGGUCGAAUUGAUCACUUGUUUGGAAUGAACGUAACUUAAGAAAUUCGAUGAUAAACAACUGGAGGGCAAGUCCUGGUGCCAGCAGCCGCGGUAAUUCCAGCUCCAGUAGUUUGCUUUAAAGUUGUUGCGUUUAAAACGCUCGUAGUUGGAUCACGCAGCAGUGUCUAGUAAUCUGCUUUCCGAUGCCGAUCAGUUGGACCGUCAUCGCACGGCCAGUGAGAGAAUUUGGKGGUAGAUGUUUUCGCUAGAYACUGCUAGUUGCACGUGAGAUGGAUAGUUGGCCUUAAAUGAGCCGAUAAUCUCGUCUUGCGGGGUGUGCCUUGAAUAAAACAGRGUGCUCAAAGCAGGUCKUUGCCUGAAUGUUAUAGCAUGGAACGAAYAAUCGUGUAUAUGUGCGCGUUUUCAGGCGGUAAUUGGUCUUUGGCUGAUUGUUGUUUGAGAUGCGCACGGCACCCACCAAAAUAUGGCUGUUGGUUCCAUAUACGGUGAUGAUUAAAAGGAGCGGUUGGGGGCAUCAGUAUUUGGCCGCGAGAGGUGAAAUUCUUAGACCGGCCAAGGACUAACAAAUGCAAAGGCACUUGUCUAGACCGUUUCCAUUAAUCAAGAACGAAAGUGGGAGGUUCGAAGACGAUCAGAUACCGUCAUAGUUCCCACCGUAAACUAUGCCGACCUGGGAUYAGUCUAGAGAUGUUUCAAGCUCUAGRUUGGKCCCCCYGSGAAACCUCAAGUUUUUCGGUUACGGGGAGAGUAUGGUCGCAAGGCUGAAACUUAAAGGAAUUGACGGAAGGGCACCACCAGGGGUGGAGCCUGCGGCUUAAUUUGACUCAACACGGGGAAACUUACCUGGUCCGGACAUCGAUAGGAUUAUCAGAUCGAUAGCUCUUAUAUGAUACGAUGAGUGGUGGUGCAUGGCCGUUCUUAGUUCGUGGAGUGAUCUGUCAGCCUAAUUGCGGUAACGAACGAGACCACAGUCUCCAUUUAAGAGAUGGAAGAAGGCGGGCACAGUAUGUGAUUUCGGUCGCCAACCGUGUCCGCCACAGGAAGAGUGAUGCGCUCCUUGGGUGAGUGUGAGGGGGCAACCCUAAGCAUGAUCUCUUUGAGUGAGUCAUUUCUCCCUUCUAUUACGCAGCAAUUGAUYUCGAUUAGUUGUUGCCUUAUGGAGAGACAACGAGGUAUAAACAAGCUCGAGGAAGAGUGGCUAUAACAGGUCAGUGAUGCCCUUCGAUGUUCAGGGCUGCACGCGCGCUACAAUGAUAACGACAGCGAGUGUCUGCGUCGAAAGACGUGGGUAAUCUUUAAUCGUUAUCGUGAUGGGGAUUGACCGUUGUAAUUAUCGGUCAUGAAAGAGGAAUCCCUAGUAUGCGCAUUUUAUUAGAAUGUGCAGAUUGAGUCCCUGCCCUUUGUACACACCGCCCGUCGCUACUACCGAGUGAAUGGUGUCAUGAUGCGCUGGGACUGGACGUUAGUUGGGCCCUCGGGCUCGGCAGACGCUGGGAUCAGCGUAAAAUGGCGCAAUUUCGAGGAAGUAAAAGUCGUAACAAGGUUUCCGUAGGUGAACCUGCGGAAG
rnacentral:rRNA from 1 species